UUCAUAAUCAAUUUAUUAAAUGAUCAUUGCUGCUUUUUUUCCCCUUCAUAUUUGUCAUCGCUGAAGCAGCAAUUGGUGUUUGAAACCUGUGCUGGUAUGUCAUCAAACGAGGUGCCAUUUCGAUCAAGCCAAGGUGGCCUGGCAGCCAGUCACCCAGAGCUGAGAGAAAACCAGAGCUCAAGCCCAGGCACAGAUAUGGGAUCAGCCAGGAGGGGGGCCAGACUUCUGGAUGAACUCACACUCUGUCUACUUCAUCAUCCACGUAAGGGAGUCCCUAUCAAAUUUGUUGAUCUCCUCAGACAAGCACAGCAGCCUGUGCCCUGAGGUCAAACUGAUGCUGCUCUAGGGUGACACAGGACACCGGGAGAGCUCCAAGACAACGCGCUUUCUUCCCAGGCUUACCAAGUGGCCAUUCAACAUUAGGCAAUGAACCCUGAAAAUACUGAAAUAAGGAAGACUGAC